GGUUUUAGCUCAGUGGUUAAGACAUUGGACUACUGAUCAGAAGGUCAUGAGUUCAAUCCCCAGCACCACCA